GUUUUUCACAUGGUUGGUUUUUCAAGCAGAAAAUAACGGCACAGAUAUUCAGCCUACAUCGCCGUCAUGAUCACUGGUGAACCCAUCUCCUCUAAAUUGAAGGUGCUGUAAGGAGUGAGGUGCCCUUCCCUGAUAGGAGAAAAAACACCUAAACAAGGUAUAACCAUAUGGAACUAAUAAAUCCAUGAAGACCGAUCCCGUAGUGAUGCCCCCAGUCCCCCGCCCAGGUCCAGACAUGAUACAGCGCAGUGAUCUCAGCACAUGACAGGCACGAUGCAGUGACUGAGACUGGGAGAUGCAGUGACUGAGACUGUGUUCCAGAAAAAUGUCCUGAAACUACUGGUCGACAUCCGCCAUCGCCUGAAGGAAACCAGAAGGGAUCAUGAAAUUUGGUUCCAUAGCCACUGAGGUGUAUGUACAUCAAGGUGAACGUGUGUGAGCACCUCAAGCACGCGUCGCAAAGACUUGGAGGUGGAGGAUUCACUACGCCCCGAUGAGCCUACAGGACUUGAAUUAAGAGUUUUAAAGGGAUAGUUCACUUUAAAAUUAAUUUUUGAUAUGUUUUAGCUUACCUCAAGGGCAUCCAAGAUGU